AAGGGACCUAGCGUAGUUCGGAAUUACUGGGCUUAAAGAGUUCGUAGGUGGUUGAAAAAGUUGGUGGUGAAAUCCCAGAGCUUAACUCUGGAACUGCCAUCAAAACUUUUCAGCUAGAGUAUGAUAGAGGAAAGCAGAAUUUCUAGUGUAGAGGUGAAAUUCGUAGAUAUUAGAAAGAAUACCAAUUGCGAAGGCAGCUUUCUGGAUCAUUACUGACACUGAGGAACGAAAGCAUGGGUAGCGAAGAGGAUUAGAUACCCUCGUAGUCCAUGCCGUAAACGAUGUGUGUUAGACGUUGGAAAUUUAUUUUCAGUGUCGCAGGGAAACCGAUAAACACACCGCCUGGGGAGUACGACCGCAAGGUUAAAACUCAAAUGAAUUGACGGGGACCCGCACAAGUAGUGGAGCAUGUGGUUUAAUUCGAAGAUACGCGCAGAACCUUACCAACACUUGACAUGUUCGUCGCGACUCUAAGAGAUUAGAGUUUUCGGUUCGGCCGGACGAAACACAGGUGCUGCAUGGCUGUCGUCAGCUCGUGUCGUGAGAUGUUGGGUUAAGUCCCGCAACGAGCGCAACCCUCACUUUUAGUUGCCAUCAUUAAGUUGGGCACUCUGAAAGAACUGCCAGUGAUAAGCUGGAGGAAGGUGGGGAUGACGUCAAGUCCUCAUGGCCCUUACGUGUUGGGCUACACACGUGCUACAAUGGCAUCUACAACAGGAAGCAAAACGGCAACGUUAAGCAAAUCCCGAAAAGAUGCCUCAGUUCGGAUUGCACUCUGCAACUCGAGUGCAUGAAGCUGGAAUUACUAGUAAUCGUGGAUCAGCGUGCCACGGUGAAUGCGUUCCCGGGUCUUGUACACACCGCCCGUCACACCAUGGGAGUUGGUUCUACCUUAAGGCAAGGUUUUAAACCCUUGACCACGGUAUAGUCAGCGACUGGGGUGAAGUCGUAACAAGGUAGCCGUAGGGGAACCUGCGGCUGGAUUACCUCCUUUCUAAGGAUGAGUGAAAGUAAAAUUUCACUCUAAAUAAUAUACAUCGGUAAUGUUGACCGUCCUCAUUUCUCUUCUUAAAGUAAUGUUUCCUUCUUGUAGGGCCGGUAGCUCAGUUGGUUAGAGCACACCCUUGAUAAGGGUGGGGUCGAAAGUUCGAGUCUUUCUCGGCCCACCAAAAACCUAAAUGGGGGAUUAGCUCAUCUGGGAGAGCGCCUGAUUUGCAUUCAGGAGGUAGCAGGUUCGAUCCCUGUAUCCUCCACCAGGAAACAUUUAGUUAUUAAAACUGUAAAUAAAAAUAAUUUAUAUCAAUAUCUAUAUCCGAACAUUAAAAGUUAUUAUUUAAUGUUCAAAAUAAAAAUUUGAUCACAACAUAGAUAAAUUUUCUUUAAAAAGAAUUUUUUUCUGUGCAUAAAUCAAGCGUUUAAGGGCGUGUAGUGGAUGCCUUGGCACUGAAAGCCGAUGAAGGACGUGAUAUACUGCGAUGAGUUUCGGGGAGCUGUAUGUAAGCUUUGAUCCGAAAAUUU
rnacentral:sRNA from 1 species